CCUGGGUCCUACAUCCCCCCCGCUAGCCUCUCGCCUGUUGGGCGCAUGUGCGCCCGCCAUGUUGGUUUCCCCCGAUCCUGCUGGCCGCCCUGCCACGCUGCGCCGGCUUCCCGGCGCCCACUGAUCUUCCGCGCGGGGCCCGGGGUUGUGGAUCCCGCGUCCGUUAGUGCGGGGGUGCCACAGGACUACUCAUUGUUUUUGGCCUGUGAAAGAAAUACCCAGACUUUUAAGAUGCAAGCAAGAGCCAAGUACCUUCAAAAAGCUCUGAAAUCUGCUUAAAACGACAUUUAGGGUGACUCACCUGUGGGAGAUGAGGUGUGUGUCAACCCUAUAGAUGACUGAAUCAUAGGUUUGGAAGAGACCUCACUAGAAUUUUCACAUCAGCCUGAAAUGAAGACCCCUACAGUGAGAAAGAGGAAAGGGAGGAGUGAUGGGGAAGAGCUGCAAACCUGGCUGGUGAGUCAGGAGCUGUUUGAAAUUCUGCUGGAAUCCAGCCAGUCCUGGAAGUUUCUCACACUUCUGCACUUCCUAGUUCCAUUAGAAAGGUCUUGCACAAAAUUUUCAGCCUGCCUAACCAGAAAUAGAAGGCACCAGACAAACAAGAUCUUUCUACCUAAACUGUCAAUUGGUAUAGCAUAUCCAAGAGAGUCAGGACUGUCCACUCUGAAGGUGCGUUGCAUGGUGCAUGGAGCUAGGGUUGAGGAUACCUUCCAGUACUCGGAGCCCAAAUCUUCCAUGACAUCUCUACAUUUUCAUGUUUGGCCGGUAGAGGAUCCACUCCUUCACUCAUGGGCCAAUCAGUCUGGAAUUUCCUCCAUAAAUCACUGCUGAUCUUAAAAUCAUCUGCCUUACAAAUUUACUCUUCUCCCUUUAGUUUCCUCAUUACUAGGACUCCUAUUCUCCCUGAAAUAACAUCACUCUGUAUUUUUUUUACACAGCCAAUAUAUCUUUUACUUUUGGGGGUAGGAAGGCAAAGUUUUUCAAAAAUGAGAAGUGACGAUUUGGUUUUGUUCUGAGAAACUGCACUAAAGAACCUUUGAACAUGGUAUUUUUCAGGAGUAACACAAUCCCAAGAAAUCAUCACUCCCUUGUAGAGGUGGACUCAACAGGCAACCUAUCUAAAGAAAGCCUCUGAUUCAAAUGCUGAAAUUGAAACAAGUAGUUAGCAUAUCUGUGCCCAAUGUGCUACUGUGGGGCUA